UACGUAGGGGGCUAGCGUUGUCCGGAAUCAUUGGGCGUAAAGAGCGCGUAGGCGGCUAGAUAAGUCCGGUGUGAAAGUCACAGGCUCAACCUGUGAAUGCCGCUGGAAACUGUCUGGCUAGAGUCCGGAAGGGGCGAGUGGAAUUCUCGGUGUAGCGGUGAAAUGCGUAGAUAUCGAGAGGAACACCUGCGGCGAAGGCGGGUUGCUGGGCCGACACUGACGCUGAGGCGCGAAAGCCAGGGGAGCGAACGGG
rnacentral:rRNA from 1 species